GCCUUCAUGGUGUAGUGGUCAGCACGCUCGACACGUAAACGAGAGGGCCAUGGUUCGAUUCCCGGCGUUGGCG
rnacentral:tRNA from 1 species